rnacentral:rRNA from 1 species
CUUUUUCGGACCGGGGUGGUAACGCGUGAGAAUCUGCCUUCAGGUCGGGGAUAACGACUGGAAACGGUCGCUAAUACCGGAUGUGCCGAGAGGUGAAAGCUUAAUGUGCCUGAAGAUGAGCUCGCGUCCGAUUAGCUAGUUGGUGGGGUAAGAGCCUACCAAGGCGGUGAUCGGUAGCUGGUUUGAGAGGAUGAUCAGCCACACUGGGACUGAGACACGGCCCAGACUCCUACGGGAGGCAGCAGUGGGGAAUUUUCCGCAAUGGGCGCAAGCCUGACGGAGCAAUACCGCGUGCGGGAGGAAGGCUUUUGGGUCGUAAACCGCUUUUAUUGGGGAAGAAGCUCUGACGGUACCCAAUGAAUCAGCAUCGGCUAACUCCGUGCCAGCAGCCGCGGUAAUACGGAGGAUGCAAGCGUUAUCCGGAAUUAUUGGGCGUAAAGCGUCCGCAGGUGGCUGGUCAAGUCUGCUGUCAAAGCGUAGAGCUUAACUCUAUAUCGGCAGUGGAAACUGGAUAGCUAGAGUACGGUAGGGGUAGCGGGAAUUCCCAGUGUAGCGGUGAAAUGCGUAGAUAUUGGGAAGAACACCAGCGGCGAAAGCGCGCUACUGGGCCUGUACUGACACUGAGGGACGAAAGCUAGGGGAGCGAAAGGGAUUAGAUACCCCUGGUAGUCAAAAGGGGGGU